GAUCAUGGCUCAGAGUGAACGCUGGCGGCAGGCCUAACACAUGCAAGUCGAGCGGUAACACUUCGGGUGACGAGCGGCGGACGGGUGAGUAAUACAUAGGAAUCUGCCUAGUAGUGGGGGAUAACGUAGGGAAACUUACGCUAAUACCGCAUACAUCCUACGGGGGAAAGCAGGGGGAUCUUCGGACCUUGCGCUAUUAGAUGAGCCUAUGUCGGAUUAGCUAGUUGGUGAGGUAAAGGCUCACCAAGGCGACGAUCCGUAGCUGGUCUGAGAGGAUGAUCAGCCACACUGGGACUGAGACACGGCCCAGACUCCUACGGGAGGCAGCAGUGGGGAAUAUUGGACAAUGGGCGCAAGCCUGAUCCAGCCAUGCCGCGUGUGUGAAGAAGGCCUUAGGGUUGUAAAGCACUUUCAUUGGGGAGAAAGGCUGUUUGGUUAAUACCCAAGCAGAUUGAUGUUACCCAAAGAAGAAGGACCGGCUAACUCCGUG
rnacentral:rRNA from 1 species